AACAACAAGAGCUUUAUGAAUCCCGUAAGCAAAGGCCAGUUCCGUCCAAAUGCUAGAAUGGUACGCCUCCGGUUCUCCUGAUGCUGUUGAUUCAGGAAUUUCCCAGUUAAAAUAUCGACGAAUACUAUUCAAGAUCGAAUGUUCAAGGUAGCCAAUUCUCUCUGCACCCAAGGUACGCACAAGGACAAACGAAGCAGAAAAAUCAAGCACUGAAAUACCAAUGUAGACUCCCAAAGACCACCAUCCAUACUUUUUCGUAAGUUCUUUUACUCUCUGGGUAAUAGUUAAUCGAGGAGGCGGAGAGGAAGAAGGAGGAAUCGAAGAAGAAGAAGAUAUUGAUCGUCUUACAGGCACAUUAUAAAGUGGAAGAGUUGGAGCUCUUCGAAAUGGCAGUCGUACGGAUUUCAAGUUUCGCCAAAGAUUGCUCAUUCCCAA